CUCUCUCUUCUCUUUUUCGCAACUUUC
rnacentral:sRNA from 1 species